AUGCUUUACGGCUUAGAAUCGGGACUUCAACGACGUUUUGAACGUCAUGGAGCAUAUGAGAUGUUCCAGGAGUUGAAGUUAAUAUUUCAAGCAAAUGUCCGGAUUAAGAGAUAUGAAGUCUCCAAUAAGUUCUAUAGCUGCAAGAUGGAGGAGAACAGUUCUGUCAGUGAGCAUAUACUCAAAAUGUCUGGGUAUAAUAAUCACUUGAUUCAAUUGGGAGUUAAUCUUCUAGAUGAUUGCGUCAUUGACAGAAUUCUCCAAUCACUGCCACCUAGCUACAAGAGCUUCAUGAUUAACUAUAAUAUGCAAGGGAUGAAUAAGACUAUUCCCGAGCUCUUCGCAAUGCUAAAAGUUGCGAGGUAG
rnacentral:rRNA from 1 species